rnacentral:rRNA from 1 species
GACGAACGCUGGCGGCGUGCUUAACACAUGCAAGUCGUACGGUAAGGCCCUUUCGGGGGUACACGAGUGGCGCACGGGUGAGUAACACGUGAGUAACCUGCCCACAACUUUGGGAUAACGCUAGGAAACUGGUGCUAAUACUGGAUAUGUGCUCCUGCUGCAUGGUGGGGGUUGGAAAGCUCCGGCGGUUGUGGAUGGACUCGCGGCCUAUCAGCUUGUUGGUGGGGUAGUGGCCUACCAAGGCGGCGACGGGUAGCCGGCCUGAGAGGGUGACCGGCCACAUUGGGGCCUAGAUAAGGCCCAGACGCCUACGGGAGGCAGCAGGGGGGAAGAUUGCACAAUGGGCGCCAGCCGGAUGCCGCAACGCCGCGGGCGGGAUGACGGGCUUCGGGUUGUAAACCGCUUUCAGCAGGGAAGAAGCCUUUUGUGACGGUACCUGAAGAAGAAGCACCGGCUAACUACGUG